GUCACUCCGACGAGACUCUCGGCGGAGGUUUUUUUCUCGAAUUUAUUGAUCCAAGUCGGUUGGAUUAUUUUUGCUCUGGGAAAAGGUUCUGUAAUUUUGAUCUAAUCGAUACGAUUCUCGUUCUCGUACGGCACCCGCGAUGGAGCGGUUUUUGACAAAAGCCAAGGGCACAAAAAUAACGUGUAGGCUCCGGUGUAAAUCAUUGGACAUUUAAAACUCGAGUUUAGCAAAAUGGCAAGCCGUUCUCGUACGGUUUAUAAACUGGACAGAGAAUCCGCGUUGCAAAACGGAGGACUUGAAAUAAAAAGGCGGUCUCGGAACACGCUCGCUGGCUCAGUCCUACUCCGAAGAGAAGAAAAGAGAAUGGAAGAGAAAAGAAGAGAAGGAGGCGCGGAGAGCGAGGAGGAUUCUUUCUGUUGAACGAACGCGAUUGCGUUGCUGCUGAGUCACACCGCGCGCUCCUGCCACGUUGUCGGUUCGCCAUCAUGCGCCUUCACCGUCCAACAGCCACCGGCACUCGGGCUCGCGGUGUGCUGCGUUGCUCGCCACCACCACAGUGUUGCCAACUCCUUUCGGCGUUCGGUGCGGCGUUGCCGGCUCUCUCGAAUCUGCGCCGUCGUGGCACUCCACCGAAGCUCUCCUUUUAUUCCACUCCAUCCCGGCUGUGCUCCUCUCGCUCUCUCCGUUACGUUCGCUCGACGCCCCUCUUGCUCCCCCCAACGCCAACUGGCAAAAGCUGUCCAUCCCCGCCAUCCCCACCAUCCGGAGAGCUGUCCGAGAGCCGCAUAAUGAGGAAAAGAGCCAGAGCUAUUCGACCCCUCGCAUUCGUCUCCAAUGCGCACGAGAAAGACGGAGCUCGGCGGAGCCUCGAUGCACAGCCAGAGAAAGGGAGCGCCGAGCUCGAGAGAGCGCCGCGUGGAUACGUUCAAAUUUCAUUCCUUCAAGCUCCGCAGCAGCUCAGCUCCGCCGUAAAGACGCAGAGAGAAAACGGAAAGAAAUGCUUACAGAUAUACCAGAUUGAAGUCGGUCGGGAGACCAGAGAUACCCUGGAAUUCGGAGAAAACGUCGGUAAUGGAGUUUCACGAGAGAUAAACAGCAUUCGGAGACGCAAGAAAAGGUACUCUCCCGUGUACAGCUCUCUGCAGCAGCGCAUUUAGAGCCUCUCAGCAGGAACACUCACCAACCAUCUUCGAGUCUCUUAUAGCUACGCGCGGCGAAGAUAACCGGAGUAAGGUUACCUACCGAGCGCACAACAUGUUUACUUUCUUCGCGCUCAUUAAUCCCCGCCGUUUUCUCCCCCAAUAACCUAUCAACUGUUUUUUCCGCUUUUUUACUAUUUCAGAGACACCGCUCGAACCUCGUACGGCGCUAGAGUCCUUCGCCAAGUAUUCUUCCGAUCAUUUUUAUCAUUCAACAUUUGAGCCAAACGACUCAGCGACCUUUCUUCCUUCCUACGAUGACAAAUACCGUUACGCAACGACCCUAAUCCCUUCCCUUCAAAACGCUCGCUAACGAACUCCGCCAACGAACCAAGUUGCUCCGCUCCAACGUCCAGCGCCCGGCGCCUUACUGCACCGAGCUCUCCUCGCAGAACUAAAAUCGGGGAUGGACACGCGCCCGGGGUCAAAAACGGAACGUCGCAUGCACUUAAUUGGAGAAAAAUACUUCACAUUAUAAACUCGACGCACAGCUAACGGAUAUGAUAUUUCGAACAGAGCGGAUUUAAAAACACUUUGCCACUUCUAGAACGAGGUCGACUCAACUUACUAGCCAGUUGCGCACAGCCAAUGUGCGAUUCAAAAAAAAAAAGAGGCUUCGCUGAGACUUCGAUCCUCUGAUCCGUCGCAACUUCCUGAUUAUCGAACGAGCCAAGCCUCGUUCGUUGCGGGAGGAAUUUUUACAGAUAAAAAUCAAAGUAAACGGUGUGCGGGCGAAAAAAUAUUGCGCGCUCGAAAUAUAAAUGUAGGGUGAUGCAUUAUCGAUCCGAUUCAGCGGAUAUGCCCGAAAAACUGCAACCGGAAACGGGUUAAAUACUCGCUCGAAAAAUGGCGAAUUGCGCAGCACCUUCGUAGGGCAUAAAUCCUACUGAGUUUCAAUUUUCAUCGACAUGCAUUUCGACCGAUUCCCCCGAUCAAGAGCUUCUAAUUAAUUUUCUCUCCCAAAUUUCGCUAAGCUCCUGCCCCAUCAAGAUCGGAAUAGGACUGAUUGAGCUGUAUUGAAACCCUUCGGAAAGCCCCAAAAAGCCAUGUUUUUAGGUCUCGAUGCUCGUUCAUGUGUAAAGCGCUCGUGUAUACCGGGCCCGGAAACGUCUGAGGCGUCGAGCUUUCCGGACAGAAGUACCUAAACGCAGAUGAUCUCGUGAAACGGCGCGGGAUCAUUGAAGCGGAAAACACAACUUCAAAGAUUCGGGCUUUCCCGCCAAAGUCAAAUAUUUACGGACUCGUGAUACGCCUCGUUCCUAUCAACGGAAUUUGCUGUGCGCACGAAGGUCGGUAAACUCGUCACGAUUUCGACGAUAGCGAUCUGUACGAUUCUGGACCCGACUUUUUAGUUACCGUUCAUCGGAAUUUCCUUUUCCAUCGAUGUCGAUGAGUCGGAUUUUCAAAAUAGAGUCAACUUUUCUGAGCUGAGUCAACUUUCAAUUAAUUUAUAAUACUGGUACUGUACGAGCUCAAUUGAAAUUUACAAACGCUAUGAAAUCGCGGUGAAGUAUUUUUAGGUUGAUGGGAAUGGCAAUAGCGACAUGAGAAUUUUCACAUUUCGGCAGAAGCUUGACGUUACAUUUUUUUUCUAAAAACGAAGCCCAACAAACUCCUCCGAGCAUGUACACUUUAUAAAUACUGUUAAAAUUCCAGAUCCACAUUAAAUAUUGACUCGCACUGCACAAACUGCGUUUAUGCAUCGAGCUCUAUGACAGAAGUUUAGCAAUGAGUGAAGCACAUGAAAUAUUCCGUAUCGCUAUUACACAGAGCGAAGCGACGCUUACGCGCGCGAAACGUUCACCAUACAAAUGCACACAGAGAAAUUGGUCGAAUAAUAAACGAAACGGAUUCAAAAAGGGAUUCGAAAGCUUUACGAAAAUUAAAA